ACAGAGCCACGUGCUGGGACAAGGACCCCCAGGACAGGGUGGCGGCGCAGCCACAUGAGAACAGAUGAGCAAUGAACCAGGAAGGAGACAUGUCAGAGCCACGUCCACACAGGCAGGUGUGAGCGGACAGCGGGAGGGAACACGGCGUCUCGGGGAUGAGCCCGGCUCCUGGGCCGUAUGCACGGACAGCAGCACAGAAGCUCCCAUUUGUUGCUGGGCUCCCGGGUAAACAGGCCAGGAGGGGAAAGUGAUGGUACAACAGGUGUGACCUGGGACUUGCGGGUUCUGAAGUGUCACACGUGUACCCAACGGGUCCACAGAAGGAGGGCUCGAGAACCAAGGACAGAAAUCAGGAGUUAAAAACCCUCACUGCAAGGGAACUACGCUUCGAGGGAAAUGAAGAUCAAAUCCUGGUUUCGAUGGUACUUGUUGAGAGUUCACCUGUUUCGCCCACAGUAAUGAACAGGUGGAUGACAAUGAAGCCAAGUGCAUCAAAGGAAACAGAUGAAACCCUAAGCAGAAUCCACCUGCAAGUUUCAUCAUGUACAGCAGGCGCCCGGCCUCUGCCUGCAGCUCUGCCAAGCCCAAGGUGAAACCUCCCACCCGCUCAGCACCCAGCACGACUUCCUCCUGCUGAGGCAACCUGGAUCAGACCAAACGGACCCUUCCAAGAGACAGAAGGAAACAACACACAUGACUCUGGAAAGACUCGAGAUGCUCCAGCAGCCGCCCAGGGCUUCAGACGCUCUGGAAGGGACGUGCUGGCCCCAGGAGCUGCCAGAAGCCCGGCCCCGCCAGGCGUUGCUUCACGGCAGUUUCAUUCAUUCCCUUCCCAGGGAUUUCAGCCGGCUGCGUCAGACAAUUGCUCACUCUUGCUGAGGGCAAAUCUCUGAAUAGUUCUGAGGUGCUGCUGCCAAACCGCCUGGGUGCUCUGCCCUAAACGGCAGGACAGCACGCCUCACUCUUUGCCAGCAUAUGCCGGGGGGUGGCACAGGGCUCGGCUCUCCUAAGCCUUUGAGAAGACCGUUUUACACCUCGGGAGGAAGGGGAAAAACGAAUGUCUCUCCACCUCAACGUGGAACUUGGAGAUGUCAAAAUAAAAA
rnacentral:lncRNA from 1 species